AGAACGCAGCGAAAUGCGAUACUUGGUGUGAAUUGCAGAAUCCCGUGAACCAUCGAGUCUUUGAACGCAAGUUGCGCCCGAGGCUAUCCGGCCGAGGGCACGCCUGCCUG
rnacentral:rRNA from 1 species